ensembl:rRNA 5S_rRNA 5S ribosomal RNA
GUCAACGGCCAUACCACCCUGAACGCACCCGAUCUCGUCUGACAUCGGAAGCUAAGGAGGGUUGGGCCUGGUUAGUACUUGGAUGGAACAAGUCACCUUUUUUU